GUGGAAGGUAAACCUCAAGUUGACUGCGGCUAUGAUUUUGGGGGUAUUUAAAACAUUUUAUUGUGAAAUUAACAUAUUGUAAAAUUGACACACCCCUGCCCCCGGUAUACAGUUCUAUGAGGUUUGUUUGUUUGGCUGGAGUGACAGGUGUUUAGGGACUUGGGAUGCUGGGGGUGAAGCUGCAGAUGAAUUUUCUCUGUCCCGUCCUUAUUGUGAAAAGAGGGCCCUGGUCCCUUGAUUCCAAAGAACCAGAGUUACCCUCUUUUCCCCUGAUCCCUGGAAGGUGGGGUACAGAUGUUGUCCUGUGACGCCUGUCCCCACUUCGUGCACGGAGCGGACUGCCCAGCAUGCACAGAUGGAAUGGGAACAACUGCAAUGACCACCUUCGGAAGAGUGAGCCUGGGAGGCCCCCUGGAGCCCCAACUUGGGGCGGAGGCUGGUGACCUGUCAGCCACUCUCAGACAGUCCCACCCUAUGGCCUGAAAGGGUGGUGGCCAGGUAGGUGGUUGACUUUCCUCCCUGCCCCCUCUUCCUUAUUCAGUGUUAAAGAGCUAGCAUUUGAGGGUGGCCUCGGGUGACAAAUUCCCCACUGUUAAAACCCCCUGUGGGUUGGCAGCAGCCAGGAAGAACCGGCUUUUUGUCUGGGAGUAGAGGCAAGGGCGAUGGCUUAUCUCACUGUUCCUUUUCAUUUGGGACAUAAUACAUCCCACAAAGCUCAGGUCCCGCACUGAAAAAAUCAAUUACAUUGCACAGCAUUUUUAGUGCUCUGAGUCUCCGAGCAAAGGAAAUAGGUG
rnacentral:lncRNA from 10 species